GUCAAGUAAGAAUACCCGCUGAACUUAAGCAUAUCAAUAAGCGGAGGAAAAGAAACUAACUAGGAUUCCCUUAGUAACGGCGAGUGAACUGGGAAGAGCACAAAUUUUAAAUCACCUCGGUGAAUUGUAAUUUGAAGAGCGUGUCUUGACGUUCCGAUCUGGUCCAAGUCCUCUGGGAUGAGGUAUCAUAGAGGGUGAGAAUCCCGUUCGACCGAACCAGGCGUUUUACGAUACGCUUUCAAAGAGUCAAGUUGUUUGGGAAUGCAGCUUAAAAUGGGAGGUAAAUUUCUCCUAAGGCUAAAUAUUGGCGAGAGACCGAUAGCGAACAAGUACCGUGAGGGAAAGAUGAAAAGCACUUUGAAAAGAGAGUUAAAUAGCACGUGAAAUUGUUGAAAGGGAAACGAUUGAAGCCAGUCGUACCGACGGGAAAUCAACCUUUCGACGCGAUCCUGUGGGCGCGUGGGAGUUUAAACCCCUGCGUUUUCAGGUUCUGCGUUCUUUUGGCGUACUUUCUCGUGUGGUAGGUUAACAUCAAUUUUGGCGGUCGUAAAAUGAUCGGAGGAAUGUGGCUUCGAUUUAUCGAAGUGUUAUAGACUCCGGUAAAUGCGAUUGUCGGGAUUGAGGAUUGCAACGAAUGCCUCUCGAGGCUAACCGCCUGAUCUCUAAUCGUCGCGUUGGUGCCGGAAGCAUGCUUACGGUUUUCGAGGUUGAUGGUUACAAGGUUAGAACGGGAUAAAUUCGUUAAGGAUGUUGACGUAAUGGCUUUAAACGACCCGUCUUGAAACACGGACCAAGGAGUCUAACAUAUAUGCGAGUGUU
rnacentral:rRNA from 1 species